rfam:Lutzomyia longipalpis Contig34595, whole genome shotgun sequence.
AAAACGGCCCUUUUCAGGGCCACAAAUACAUCAACAUAAAGAGUU